UCGCCUGUUUUACCAAAAACAUCGCCCUUUGAAAAAUUUUUGAAGCAUAAAGGGUUCUGCCUGCCCGGUGACAGUAGUUAAAUGGCCGCGGUAUCUUGACCGUGCAAAGGUAGCAUAAUCAUUUGCCUUUUAAAUGGAGGCUGGUAUGAAUGGCAAGACGGAAAUUUAGCUGUCUCUUUUUUAGGAUCUUGAAUUUUACAUCUUUGUGAAGAGGCGGAGAUGAAAUCGUAGGACGAGAAGACCCUAUCGAGCUUUAAUUUUAUAGCAAUGUUUUAAAGAUUUAUUUUUUAGGCUAAUUGUUUAAAAAGUUAAUGUUACCUGAAGAUAAGUAUAAUUUGUUGUUAAACAUUUUGGUUGGGGCAACCGCGGAGAAAAAAAAUCCUCCGUUGUUUUUUAUUUUUAAAAGAUUACUAUUUUAGAGUAGAUAAAGGCUAAGAAAAUGAUCCACUAAAAAGUGAUCAAAGGAAUAAGUUACCGUAGGGAUAACAGCGUAAUUUUUUUGGAGAGUUCAUAUUGAUAAAGAAGUUUGCGACCUCGAUGUUGGAUCGGGACUUCCAGGGGAUGCAGCAGUUCCAAGG
rnacentral:rRNA from 1 species